rnacentral:lncRNA from 1 species
UUUUUUUUUUUUUUUGCAUGCCCUAACUUCCCAACUAGACAGCACAGGGACUAGAUCAUAUCUUUCAUCCUUUUGAACUGGUAGUAGGUAUUAAUAAAUAUUUAUUCAUGAUAAUGGAAUUUGAUUAAAGGGGGUAGAAGAUUGUAAGACUUCAUAUCUCAUGGGAAUGAUAAAAUAGGAAGUGAGAGAGGCUUCAUGAUGGUGGGCAGGGUGGAUUUUUCCUAUUGAGCUUCUAUCACUAUAGCAAUUCUAGUUUGAUGUAUUAUAUGCACAAGCUUUUUAAGAACACUCAACACAUAUCCUAGAUACCACGCAUGAAGAAGAUCUACAGAGAUUGAACUCUUAAGGAAAAUUCUUGCCAAGAGUAGAAUGCUUAAACAGCAGGGAAAGGAGGCAACUUGAUGCAGCUGUGGAAGGUAGAGAUUUCACUGUGCAGCCCAAUAGAAUCCUGUCAAUGGGGAAAUGGUGUUGUGAGAAAAUUAGUUGCUCAGUAUUACAGAAGAGAAAAACACAAUGGUGAGAGAAGGGUGGGGACAGUAAACAUUUUCCAUUUUAUGAAAUGAUUAUUCAUAAGAUGUCUUAAAGUUGUAUGCUUUUCUCAUGACUGAAGUGACUGAAGUGCUUUUCUCAUGACUAGAAAGUUUCAUAAAUAUGUCAAUUUUGUGAAUUAAAGCAUGCCUAUAAAGAUUUCCCCUUACCAUGGGUAUUUGACUUGGAUUUAAUUCUCUUAGUAAAAGAUCAAGUCAAGAAGUAUUGGGGUUGCUUUGAAACAUGAAUUCUUUUAGAAAUAGGUGAUCCAAGAAGGAAAUGGCAGAUGGAAGCAAACACGAGGUGUAAUGUGCAUAAUCCCUAGACAUGGGCUAAUGCAAGGUUUGUUUUUGUUUGUUUGCUUGUUUUUGCCUUUUUAGGGCUGCACUUGCAGCACAUGGAAGUUCCCAGGCUAGGGGUCAAAUCUGAGCUAUAGCUGCCAGCCUAUGCCACAGUCACAGCAACGUGGGAUGCGAGCUGCGUCUGCGACCUACACCACAGCUCAGGGCAGUGCCAGAUCCUUAACCCACUGAGCAUGGCCAGGGAUCGAACCUGCAUCCUCAUGAAUACUAGUUAGUUUCAUUAACUGCUGAGCCACAACAGGAACUCCACGUUUUUCACUUCAAUACAGUCAUCUCCUUCCUAUUCAUGCUUCUCUAUCAUUAUAUUUGGGUAUUUGAGUCCUUCAAAGAACAAUCUUAUGAAGUCAAUGGGAUGGUCUUAUCACUAACUCCCGUUGUAGUUAAGGAUAAUCACUCCUUUUUUUUCCCCUGUAGAUGAAUAUUCUACACAAGAGUAUUAGAAAAUAUGAGUUCAUUGCUCAACCUUGUUAAAAACUAAAGAAAAAUAAAAAUCAGUUUGUGCUUAUUUUCAGGUGAAAUAUAACAUUCACUUUCACGCUACAGAGAUUAACAGUAUAAUUACAUGAUCAGUAUAGGUCAAUUUUAUCUUCUGAUUUUUAAAAUAAUAUUAAUGAAUUAGAGCUUUAUACUAUGUGAGCUUUGAUUUGCCUUUUUAAUGUAUGAGGAAAUGUACUAAACUCUAGUAUUUCAGGGAUGGUUUCUUCCUACCACAUUUGUGUUUAUUAAGCCAGGGUCCCUGACUUCUUGAAAGCCUGUACAAAUUUUGGGGUUAUAUGCAUAUGUUACAUGUUUCUAGGCAGAUUUCUUUUCUUAGAACUUCAGGAGUUCUUGUUUCAAAAAAAGGUAUGAACCACUACUGUACAUCUUCAGCUUGUGUUUGCUUUUUAAGAAGUUAAUAUUCAUCUCUCUGUAAUAACAAACGUUAUCUAUAUGUAUAUAUAUUGUUCAAUGUAAUUGCUUUAUGAAUUGGAGGAAUAUUCAAAUAAGUUUAAAAUGCCAUAUUUUGUUUCUAACAAGGAAAAAGAAAGGAAAGGGACGCACAUGAUAACUAUGAAAAUUGUGCGAAUUAUGAUUAUUUCUAUACUAAGCACUGGGAUAGAUUAACAGGGGCAGUUAAAAAAAUGCCUUUCCUUGAGAAAUUAAUAAAUCCUCCAUCUAAGAGACAUUAGGGGUAGUGCUUGCUAGCAAGUGGUAUGCUAAACUAGAAACCUUGGGGUCCUUUCCAGGUUUAUGCUCUCUUUACCAUGCACUUCUAGGCAACAGAAAACAACUAUUUUUAUCCAUUGUCAAUCAAACGCAUCACUUCAGACACAUGCUAUGCCUAGCUAACUUGUCCUUUAAAAAAAGGAAACCUAUUUUGAACCAAAAUACCCUAAUCGCACACAAAAACAGAAACAGGAUGAGGUGAGAGAGAGGAUUGGGUUCCAUUUAGAUUUAUGUCAUCAACUUGCUGAGUACUCAAAAGCAAGUUAAUCUUAUCCCAAACUCUUGAAUUUUUUUUUUUUUUACUUCCAAUUGCCUCAAAUACAUAAAGUUGGAUUUGAUAUUCUUAGUCCCUAUCCCAGGUUUCUGUAGACAAAACUGCUUGAGAAGGGCCAUGGGAAUCUAUAGUGUAACAAGUGAUCCAGGGAACUCAUGAUCAUGCAAGUUCAGAAAACCUGGAAGCAUAUGAUAUUCUUAGUCCUUUAAGAUUUUUGGAUUUUAGCUAAUCGGAAUGGGCUUCCUUCUGAAGAUCUUCAACAUAUUUAUAUAACUCCCUGAAGUCAUUUCAUAUAGAGGCUGGGAGAAUAAAUUCCAAUCAUGAAAUGAGUUGUUGGUGAGUAUGCAACACAGUAUUCAAGGAGUUAAUUCAAAAUUCUCUGGUUGAGAAAUGUAGGGGAUUGGGAACAACUGUAUGAUGUCAAAAUAACAGCUUUAUCAUCCUUUAAAAAUCACUACUGACCACAAAAGGCACUGAUAAGCACAGGGUUUAUGCCUUUUAAAAUUUUUUUAUUAACCAAAUUGAGAGCCAAGAUACCUUCUGUUUCUAAUCAUGUUUCUAUUAACUUGGACUUUUUUUCCCCAAAACUGAAAGUGUGCAGUGAAAUCUUAUACUUAGUUCUAUGGAGUCAUUUGCCAAUAUAACAAUGCAAUUAUACUUGGCCACUUGGAGAAUAAUCUAUGACAAAAACAAUGGACAUUUCUGCCUCGGGAAUGAGGUCCAGAAGCAUCAUAGUAUAUUUCAGUUAAUGUAAGCUAUAUAUAAAGGAGUAAAUGUAAAUAUCUGAGUAAAUGCAAAGAUAAUGACACAUCUAUUGACAGAUAACAGUUUCCCAGUCAACAAUAAGUGAUUUCAGGUUUAGAUCACUGAAAAGCAAUUGCAACUAAUCUACAAAACAAUGUCAAAAAAAAUGAGAAGUAACUUAAUAAUGAGAACAUACCUUUCUUAGAAAGCUAUGUUUCUAAGAAAGGUUUCUAAAAGGUAAUUCCCAUGCAACCUGAUGUAUUUCUAGAUUUUUCUUUAUGCUGGAAAUGCAGCGGAAUGAAUGGUUGUUAUCGUGUAACAGUGAUCCACUUUAUUGCAAAUAGAAGCCUAUGCACCCAUUUUGGUAUAAUCCUUCUUUCCUCAGCUGGUAGCUCCAAUCUGGCUGGCAAGUAAUAUAGUGUUCCCAGGCCAAAGAUCAAACCCAUACCAAGCCGAUGCAGUGACAGGGCUGGUCCUUGAACUCACUGUGCCAAAAGAGAACUCUUCCAUUAUCAUUUAAAAUAAGUAUAAAUUCAACUGACCCUUUUUGGUUAAGUAAGCAGAUUUACUUUUCCCAUUUGAUUGACCCCAGGGAGUAACUUUAAAUUUCAUUUGGUAGCUAAGUGAUUUUAAUUUGGGGUGUAUGUGAACAUUUUUUAAAAAGAACUCCUGCAGAUACAGAAUUGAUACCUCAAGUUUCUUCUAAAUAUUAUGUGCCAACUUAUUUAAAUUAUUAAGAUUGAAUUAUCUUUUGAUCUCAGACAAUCAGUUAUAAUCAUUUUGUCUAUAACAGAAGCUUGGCUCUAGUAUUUCUUCACAAUAAUUCUGUUAUGCCCCAAAUUCAAAUUUCAGCAUGACUCAAAUGUUUUCCAGUGCUUUCCAUGUUGAUUGCUAGUACUAUGCCCAUCUAUAAUAUAUUUGAAAACUAGUGACUUAGUGAUUAAGACUGAUGAACAUGACUUUUUUGAAGUUUCUAAUAUACAAUAAAUUAUCUUUAAACACGGUUUUUGGGUAGUUCAUUUAUUUAAAUGACCCCUAAACCUUGGGAAAGAUUAAGAAUAAAGUUUUAUGUCAGCUUCAUUUUUCAUAGUUUACUGGUGCCUUUCUUCUAUGGUAAUCUAAUUUAUAUUAUCUUUAUAAUCUAUCAUACAAAUUUAUUACCAUGCAUAAUUAUUCAAAAUAGUAGCAUUACUAUUAUUUUUAUAUUUGUAAUUAUUUAUUCAUUUCAAGUCACUCAGCAUGCUAGUAAUGGGCCAUGUAGUUAGAUAGCCUAAUUUGUUCAUAAUUUGACUCAUAAUUAGUUUCAAUACAAGUUCAAUAUAAAGUAUUUUGAAAUUUAUAAUUUUUUUGUGUUAUAUACAUGUCUGUAGAUAUAAAACUCAAAGAUUUUCUUUCUUUCAUAAUAUACUAUAAUAUGGUUACAAGUGCAUUGAAAUUCAUCUUGUUAGAAUGGUAGUAAUAUAUCCCACUAGGACUACUGUUCCUAGUAGCAAUUUAAAAUAAUUAUUGUGAGACUUGAUGCUAGACAUCAGGUUUGCAAUAGAAUUACAAUGAGGGAAGUGUAUUAGAGACAAAACAUUGCUGGAAGAAAACUUCAUAAUGGCGCAAUUUGGAACUAAGCCUCAAUUUUACAGUAAUAGAUUCUCUUUAUGAUGGCACAAAGGAGUGAAUGCACUUAGCAAAUUUAAAUCUAUUAUUAGUCACACUUUGUGGAUUGCAGUGCAAAAAGGAGAAAAGAAAUUAGCCUUUUAAGUAUGUUCUUAUAUAAAACAGGUUCUAGGAAGAACGGUCUUAUAUAAAAUCUCCUUGUUACACUUCAGAAGCAUUGUCAGUCUUUAUAACAGCAGGGAGUUGUCCAGGUUUAAAAGUCUUUCCAAAAGAGUUCUUGAGGUCUCUGAUUUCUAAUUAUAGAUUUCUGAAGUCAGGGUACAUUCAACAUCAGUACAUUUCUUGUUGACAGAAAUACAGUAUAGAACAAGAAAGACAGUUAAUUUGGUCUUUGCUGCUUACUGCAAACCUCUCUCCUUGAAUGAAGAUGUGUUUGUAGUUCAUAUUAGUACUAUACCUGCCUUUAACAUGAUUUCAAUUACAGCAAGAGAACUCAACAGCAUUAAGCAGGUAUGAUUUGGCACUCAUCCAUGUAAAAGGAGUUUCAAUAGGCAAUUUUGCAAAGGAAACCAACAGUGAGAAUUCAAGAAGUAUUUUUAGUAUAAAAUCAAAACAUUAAAAAUCCAAGCUUCCAUUUUCAAGUUAAGUAAAAUGUUUUAGUUUUGUUUUAAUUAUGAUCCAUUUUUCCUAUUUUGUCUAAAAAUAAUGCUGGGUAGGAUAUUUGACAAUAGCACAAUUUAGUUUUAAAAUAACAUAAUUCUCCAUCAUGUCAUUGACUAGGUACAUAAGAAUGCAGUUGUAAUUCUUAAGAAGUAUGAAACAAAAUUCUGAUCGGAGAUGUUUCACAUAAGCAUUUAUUCUGUGGAAAAGAGUAGAAUAACCCAGUUGAAUUGGGAAAGGUUAACUAUACAUAGUAGUUAAUGUUGGUAGAUUUAUGGGAAAAGAAAGCAAGGACCACAGUAGAACUGGCCACCCAUGCAGUAAAGUUCUACACAGCCUAAACAGAACAGAUAUAAAUAUAAUUAAAUAAUCCAAAGAGAUUGCUAAAAAAGCAUUUUCAUAUAAAUCAUCCUAAUUGCCUGCCCAUAUUAACACUUAAUAUUGCUUUCUCAUGGUUUUGUUUUGCUCUGUAGCUGUCUGUAGCUGCUUUUGCUUAAUAACCCUAGUGCAAUUUUAUCCUCCUGAGCACCAGUUAGUAGUUCAUACAGGCUCACAUCUCUCAACAUUCAAUUACUCUCCCAAAUAUAACUUCUCAUUCCUUCAAAGACCUCACCCUCUUCCAGUUUUCUUCCCACUUCUCAGUCUUUAGUACGAGGUAUUUAUAUCAGCAUUGUGUCCUUUCAAAAUCAAAAUUGAUAAGGGAAAUGAUUGAACUUAUGAUUACAUAAUUAAAAAAAAAUCUCAGGAAAAAAUUCCUAACUAAAAUUGGAGAUAAAUCAUAAACUUGGAAAAAUAUUUGCAAUAUGUAUAGCAAAGAGUUAAUGUUGCUAAUCAAUAAGAAGCUCAUAAAUAAAUAUCUAAAGGAAGUAUGGGUAAAGGACAAAAGCAGCCAGUGUGCAUAAAAAUAAAUGGGAUUUAAUCAGCUGAAAAGAUGCUUAAUCUCACUCAUUGUAAAGGAAAUGCAAAUCAAAAUUAGAUAUCAUUUGAUAAGAUUGAGAAAAAUUUUUAAAUUUGAGCAUGUGGGAAAAAUAAACCCUAUCAUAUACUAUCAGUGGGUAUGCAAAGUAGAUAAACAAAAAUGUUUAUUGUAGCAAGUUUUACAAUAAGUGAGAUAACGUAUUUAUCAACUGAAUUUUGAUUAAACAAUUUAUAGAAAAACAUGCUGGAAUAUUAGGCUGUGGUAAAAAAGAACAAGAUCAAUCUUGAGGUUGUAUGGAAAAAUCUCUGUUUUAUAUUUUCAACAGGAAAAAGUAAGGUAGGGAACAGUUUGUAUAAGGUGCUCUUAUUUGUGUAAAAAAGGAUGUGUAUACAUAUAUAUGCAUGUAUAUGCAUAGACUGAAAUUCUUUGCAAAACUGCAUAAGAGGUGUUCAUUGUGAUUGCCUUUCAGGAGCCCUUUUAGGUUGUGAUAUGUGCUACUUUUUUCUUUCUUUUCUUUUCUUUUUUUCUUUUCUUUUCUUUCUUUUUCUUUUUAGGGCCACACCUGUAGCAUAUGCAAGUUCCCGGGCUAGGAGUCUAAUUGGGGUUGCAGCUAUCAGACUACACCACAGCCACAACCAUGUCAGAUCCAAGCCACAUCUGCAACCUACACCACAGCUCACAGCAACGCUGGAUCCUUAACCCAGUGAGCAAGGCCGGGGAUCGAACCUGCAUCCUCAUGGACACUAUGUUGGAUUCUGAACCGGCUGAGCCAUAAUGGGAACUCCUACUUCCUCAAUAAUUAAAAAACAGCUAGUUAUAGGAGUUCCCAUUAUGGUUCAGCAGUUAAUGAACCCAACUGGUAUCCAUGAGUACGUGGAUCAAUCCCUGGCCUCACUCAGUGGGUUAAGGAUCUGGCAUUGCUGUGGCUGUGGUGUAGGCGGGCAGCUGCAGCUGAGGUUCAACCCCUAUUCUGGGAAUUUCCAUAUGCUGCAGGUACAGCCUUAAAAAGACAAAAG